rnacentral:rRNA from 1 species
CGCGGUUAUACGAGAGGCCCAAGUUGAUAAAUGCCGGCGUAAAAUGUGGUUAUAUAGAAUUAAACUAAAGCUAAACAUCUUCAAAGCUGUUAUACGCACCCGAAGACAGGAAGCACUUCCACGAAAGUGGCUUUAUAUACUAUCACCCCACGAAAGCUAGGGCACAAACUGGGAUUAGAUACCCCACUAUGCCUAGCCAUAAACACAAGUAGUAAUUUACAUCUUUGCUUGCCCGGGAACUACGAGCCCCAGCUUAAAACCCAAAGGACUUGGCGGUGCUUUAGACCCCCCUAGAGGAGCCUGUUCUAGAACCGAUAACCCCCGUUAAACCUCACCCUCCCUUGUUAAUACCGCCUAUAUACCGCCGUCGUCAGCUUACCCUGUGAAGGAUAAAUAGUGAGCCCAAUUGGCACAGCCUAAAACGUCAGGUCGAGGUGUAGCGUACGAGAGGGGAAGAAAUGGGCUACAUUCACUGAAUCAGUGCACACGAACAAUGCUUUGAAACAACCAUUUAAAGGAGGAUUUAGCAGUAAGAGGAAAAUAGAGUGCUCCUCUGAAACUGGCCCUGAAGCGCGCACACACCGCCCGUCACUCUCCCCAAAAAUAAGGCUAUAAUAAAUAAAAAGCAACUAAAACAAAGGGGAGGCAAGUCGUAACAUGGUAAGUGUACCGGAAGGUGCACUUG